GAUGAACGCUGGCGGCGUGCCUAAUACAUGCAAGUCGAGCGAACGGACGAGAGGCUGGCGUCUCUGAUGUGAGCGGCGGGCGGGUGAGUAACACGGGGAUAACCUACCUAUAAGACGGGUAUAACUGCGGGAAACCGGAUCUAAUACGGGAGAAUAUUUUGAAGCGCAUGGUUCAAGAGUGAAAGACGGUCUUGCUGUCACUUAUAGAUGGAUCCGCGCGGCAUUAGGUAGUUGGUAAGGUAACGGGUUACCAAGGGAACGAUGGAUAGCCGAGUGGAGAGGGUGAUAGCCCACAUUGGAACUGGGACACGGUCCAGACUACUAAGAGAGGGCGCAGUCGGGAAUCUUACGCAACGGGCGAAAGUAUGACGGAGCAACGGCGCGUGUGUGACGAAGGCCCUCGGAUCGUAAAAAUGUCUUACUAGGGAAGAACACCUGUCUACGUAAACGUACCCAUAUUGACGGUACCUAAUCAGAAAGCACCGGCUAACUACGUG
rnacentral:rRNA from 1 species